rnacentral:rRNA from 1 species
UACAGAGGGUGCAAGCGUUGCUCGGAAUCAUUGGGCGUAAAGGGUAGGUAGGUGGUCUCGUUUGUCUGGGGUGAAAGCCCAGGGCUUAACCCUGGAAGUGCCCCGGAAACGGCGAGACUCGAGUCUUGGAGAGGGUCGUGGAAUUCCCGGUGUAGCGGUGAAAUGCGUAGAGAUCGGGAGGAACACCAGCGGCGAAGGCGGCGACCUGGACAAGUACUGACACUCAACUACGAAAGCGUGGGGAGCAAACAGG